GCGCCGUUAGUGUAGUGGAUCGCACGUGAGAUUCCGGUUCUUGAGACGCGGGUUCGAUUCCCGCAUGGCGCA
rnacentral:tRNA from 1 species